rnacentral:rRNA from 1 species
UAACGCGAAGAACCUUACCAGGUCUUGACAUCCUUUGACCACUCUAGAGAUAGAGCUUCCCCUUCGGGGCACAAAGUGACAGGUGGUGCAUGGUUGUCGUCAGCUCGUGUCGUGAGAUGUUGGGUUAAGUCCCGCAACGAGCGCAACCCUUAUUGUUAGUUGCCAUCAUUCAGUUGGGCACUCUAGCAAGACUGCCGGUGACAAACCGGAGGAAGGUGGGGAUGACGUCAAAUCAUCAUGCCCCUUAUGACCUGGGCUACACACGUGCUACAAUGGGAAGUACAACGAGUUGCGAAGUCGCGAGGUUAAGCUAAUCUCUUAAAGCUUCUCUCAGUUCGGAUUGCAGGCUGCAACUCGCCUGCAUGAAGCCGGAAUCGCUAGUAAUCGCGGAUCAGCACGCCGCGGUGAAUACGUUCCCGGGUCUUGUACACACCG